GCUGGGUGGAUCAGUGGCGAACGGGUGAGUAACACGUGAGUAACCUGCCCCUGACUUUGGGAUAACUCCGGGAAACCGGGGCUAAUACCGGAUAUGAGCUCCUGCCGCAUGGUGGGGGUUGGAAAGAUUUAUCGGUUGGGGAUGGGCUCGCGGCCUAUCAGCUUGUUGGUGGGGUGAUGGCCUACCAAGGCGACGACGGGUAGCCGGCCUGAGAGGGCGACCGGCCACACUGGGACUGAGACACGGCCCAGACUCCUACGGGAGGCAGCAGUGGGGAAUAUUGCACAAUGGGCGCAAGCCUGAUGCAGCGACGCCGCGUGAGGGAUGACGGCCUUCGGGUUGUAAACCUCUUUCAGCAGGGAAGAAGCGCAAGUGACGGUACCUGCAGAAGAAGCGCCGGCUAACUACGUGCCAGCAGCCGCGGUAAUACGUAGGGCGCAAGCGUUGUCCGGAAUUAUUGGGCGUAAAGAGCUCGUAGGCGGUUUGUCGCGUCUGCUGUGAAAUCCCGAGGCUCAACCUCGGGCUUGCAGUGGGUACGGGCAGACUAGAGUGCGGUAGGGGAGACUGGAAUUCCUGGUGUAGCGGUGGAAUGCGCAGAUAUCAGGAGGAACACCGAUGGCGAAGGCAGGUCUCUGGGCCGCAACUGACGCUGAGGAGCGAAAGCAUGGGGAGCGAACAGGAUUAGAUACCCUGGUAGUCCAUGCCGUAAACGUUGGGCACUAGGUGUGGGGCUCAUUCCACGAGUUCCGUGCCGCAGCUAACGCAUUAAGUGCCCCGCCUGGGGAGUACGGCCGCAAGGCUAAAACUCAAAGGAAUUGACGGGGGCCCGCACAAGCGGCGGAGCAUGCGGAUUAAUUCGAUGCAACGCGAAGAACCUUACCAAGGCUUGACAUAC
rnacentral:rRNA from 1 species